CAUGAUGGAGAAGUCAUUUUUCAUACUUUCUCGUGCGAGUAAAUUUUUCUAGAAUUCAUCGUUUCUAUAAUGACAUCGUAGCCCAGCUGUCGCAACCAGUUUUCCUUGGAUUACUUCUGAAAUAUUCUAGGGAGGAUAGCGAUGUGACUUACGAAAAUUCGUUAUAUUAUGCAGACACACUUACAAAAUAAUAAUACAAUAACUAUCACGAGGAGUCCGGCCUAAACGGAGACAGUUCGAAGAAGAUCGAUUUGAUGCACUGAAAAAGCAAUCUGGAUUGGUUUCAAAGUUUUCGGUUAUGAUACCAAUCUCAUUCUCGACUUCCGGAAAGGAAUAGUUAUUGGUGUCGUCGGAUCGGUGGGUACUGGUAGGUCAUCUUUGCUGCAAACAAUUCUAGCAAUCAUAUGGAAACGGACGCUAAGAGUUGGUGAAUGUAUAAGCUCUGGGUAAUAUGACAAUGCUGAAGUACUUCACCCCACAAAAUGGCAGAAUGGAUGACGACGGAAAAAUAUCAGCUACAACCUUAAUCUUCGAAAUCUUUUACGCCAUCACUCUGUUCGUUCAAAGAUCUGAUCUAGUUUCGAGAUUGUUGCUCUCGUAGUAUAACAUCGUUGGGCCGGUGCCACUAGACUCGUAAAUGAUUCGGAACUUUCAAUAUCGAAGCUCUCAAUCGUCGUA